UACGGGGGGAGCAAGCGUUGUUCGGAUUUACUGGGCGUAAAGGGCGCGUAGGCGGCGCAACAAGUCACUUGUGAAAUCUCCGGGCUUAACCCGGAGCGGUCAAGUGAUACUGUCGUGCUAGAGUGCGGAAGGGGCUACUGGAAUUCUCGGUGUAGCGGUGAAAUGCGUAGAUAUCGAGAGGAACACCUGCGGCGAAGGCGGGUAGCUGGGCCGACACUGACGUGAUGCGCGAAAGCCAGGGGAGCGAACGGG
rnacentral:rRNA from 1 species